UUUGGACAAGAAGCAAUUUGGACGUGGACAGUUUGGAUUCACACAAGCUGGGUGCUACUCUUAAGUAUCGAUCAAGUUGUUUUUUUUUUGUCUUUGUUUUAUGUAUCUGAUAAAAAAAAUCCCUUUUGGUAAGUAUUUUGUAUCACUUCUUUGCGUGUUUAUUUUUUUAUUCCCCCUCCUGUAGUCGGAUAUAAUCGGGUUUCUUUGUUGUAGUUAAUUACCUUGUGGUGUUGAAAGGUUAUAUCCCCGAUUACAAGGGGAUAUUGGGUAUAAAA
rnacentral:misc_RNA from 1 species